rnacentral:tRNA from 1 species
GUUUUAAUAGUUUAAAUAAAAACUUUGGUCUUGUAAGCCAAAAAUGAAAAUAUUUCUUAAAACU